AAUAAAUAUUGCCUGUGAGCGAGCUUACUUCAUUUUCACUGUUAUCUCCUUCAGAAAUGCUGUGUGCCUGUGUUCAACUUUUUAAAAUUAAUAUUCAUAAACCUCAUUCAUUCAAAUGCAUGAGGGGAGAAACAGAACAGAUAUGAUGUAUUUUUUGACCUCAAAGAGCAUACAAUCUGGGAGGAAGGAUAUCCUUAAUUUGAAGGAAACCACUAGAAAAACAUACAUGCUAAAGUGGAGCACGAGACAUUUAUAUCAAAGAGCGGUGAGGAGGUGGAAGAAGUGGGCAGUGCAUAGGGUGAAGUAAGUCAGGAAAAAACGUCUUGGAGGUGGAACAUUGCUCUCUGAAAAGAAAUGAACGUGACAGUAGACAAGGCUAUGGAAGCUUCAGAUCCUGGGAGGGGCUAGUCUUGGAGGUAGCAGAGCCCUGCUCACUGGAAGGGGUGUGCCUGGCUACACAGGCCCCUUUUGGCUCACAGCAGCGCAUCUGUGGAAACCCAGGUUACCACUGUCUGUGCCUCAUCAAAGUCUGCCUGCUGCUUGGCGACAUCACGCUCCAGACCUGUCUCUAGGAGCCGUGUGACUGAAGGUCAAGGGUGUCUCCAGGGAGCUCUCACCUGCCUGGUUCGCCCCUGCCCUGCCCUCUGAUUGGUUAUCCACACACCCACAAAGUUGUUUCACUCUCUGCUCUAAAACAGUACAGGAUUUCUGGUGGCAAGGGAUGCAGCCUUCAUUACCACCCCCCAACCCGCACCCCAACACAAAGCAGAGGAUACAAAACAAAUGGAGGCUUCAUAUGUUCUGGCAGCAAGUCCUCGCCCAGAAAUCUGGAGAUGCAAAUAAAGGCCCCCUCGAACAAAACUCGCUAAACGUGCUGAGUGGCCACGAGCCCAUCCAAGAUAAAACUAAACUAGAAAACAUCUAAAGGCAUGGAAGAGGAGAAGGAAGCCAGGCUCUCAGCCCUGGCUGUGGAGGAGCUCCGCUCCGAAGGGCGAGGUCUGUCCACCAGGGAACAGGGGAGCCUGGUCUCUGGAGCGUGGAAACCACACCUGCCACCUUCCCCCGCGCACCAUGGUGGAUGCUACAGACAACAAAAGACUAGCUUUAUUAUUAUCUCCUGGGAAAACCCCGAUUACUUCGCUCUAUGACAUCCCCACUGAGAACUGCCACCAGCUCUACAGGUGAUCAGUUCUCACAUUAGGACUCAAAUGGAAGAAGGCUUUCCCCAAAAGUUGUCAAAAUUUAAUAUUCAAACUCGUAUAGCUAUCUGCAUCCGAUUCAUCUCACAAAGAAUCUUCUCCACAACCCAGGGUCUCUACAAGAAGCCAACAACUUGCAUGUGCUUAGAAAUCUCUGAGCAACCAGGGGUUCGUGUGUGCAUCCCUGGACACCGGGACUGCCUUCGUGAUGCUGUAAAUGGGCCCCGUCGUCCCAACUGCUAAGGAGGCUGCCUCUACAAAGCAAGAGAGGAAUGUACCAUCUCACAACAGUCUUACAGUCUUACAAGAAAAAGAAAAGGAAAGCCAGAUGCACUGACUCAUGCCUGUAAUCCCAGCACUUUGAGAGGCUGAACGGGAGCAUGACCUGAGGUCAGGAGUUCAAGACCAACCUGGCCAACAUGAUGAAACCCCGUCUCUACUAAAAGUACGAAAAUUAGCUGGGUGUACAAAAUUACAAAAUUUAGUACAAAAAUUCACCUGCAGGAGAAUCACUUGAACCUGGGAGGCAGAGGUUGCAGUGAGCCGAGACUGCACCAUUGCACUCCAGCCUGUGUAAAAAGAGUAAAAUUCCACCUCAAAAAAAAAAAAAAAGGAAAAAAGGAACAGAAAAAAAAAAAGGAAGACAAAGCUAAGGAAGACCACGAUAAAGAAAAUAAAGGAGAAGAGAUGACUAUGAUGACCGUUCGCACAACUGUCAGAUGCAGGUCAUGGUGGUUAAAUGCAACAAAGCCCAGAGAUGUCUUGCCUGCCUUUCCUACCUUUACUAAUCAUCAAAUAUAUCCACAACCAGUUGCUCUUCAUCAGGAUUUGCUGGGUGCUAAGACUGAAUGCUUAUGUCCCCCUCACAAUUAAGGGAUUGAGUGUUCUUACAAAAGAGACUCCAGAGAGAUCCUGUGUCCCUUUCACCAGCAUGCUCCUCCACCUGUCUGCAUGUCGGUUGCUGCGUCCAUAUAAAGUGCUGCAGGGAUAUUUCGAGAAGCUAAUAAGACAAGUCAAUGUGCAAAUACCUUGCAAGUAUCUAAAAUGAAAAAUGUGAGCUCUUCUUCCCCAAGCAAAGAAAAGACCCAAAUAAAAAAUAACACAUAUGUAGAGGUUAUCUAUGAUAUUUUAGAUUUUAUGAGCUCUCUAUAAAUGAACAUUUGUUUCCUUUGUUCCUGAAAUGAAACCAUUACCUGUUUUUCUUGUUUGCCUUUUCCAGCCUAUCUGCCAAAAGUUAUUUUAUUUUACAAAAUGUCUUCCUAAAUUAUCCAAUCCUUUUCCUUCUGAACAUUUAAAACCAUUCAAAAAACCCAAAGUACAUUUUGAUCUAAGCAAUUAAGUUUCUUUACAUCAGUAAUCCCAAUGUCAUGUUGCGAACGUCAUUCUAGAAAAUGUCCCACAGCAAGUUUUUAAUGGCCUGUAAGCAGAGGCUUUAAAAUAAGGACAUUUUUAAAUGCUGGGUCAGGAAUAACUUCAGUGAGGCUCCAGCCCCCUGCCGCGACCUUUCUGCUGACAUGUCUCUGUUGACGCCAAUAUGGAAAUCCACUUGUUUCCAGGCUUUCUCUCUUCAUACCUCAUUAGGAUUCUGCACUGUUACAAAGUAAAACCACUGCCAGGACCAUGAAAUAUGAGGCAAUGGAAUACUCUAAAAUCCCACACCAUUCUUCAUUUACUGUCUUUCCAUCAAGUCACCAAACCAAAACUAUCAAAUUGAUUGUACAAGGCAAGAGAUAUGACAGAGUUAGAUGCCCAGAACAUUUUUUGCAAUCCUUCUUUUCUGGCGGGGUGGAGAUCUGAAAAUGUAUCCCUUCUAGGUUUCUGUAAGUAAUCAGAAGAACUGCAAAUUAUACUUUUGUUUUUGCCAAACUUUUAAGCUUGACAUGAUUGAAACUUCUAGAUUCCUCUAGUUUUCUCCUCUAAAAGCAACACUUCCAGCUAGGUUUAGCUGCUUCGCUGGAGAGCAUGCUGCAAUGUACCCAGCUUACCAUGAUGUCCCAGACAUGCUUUAAUAUACAGCUAGCAUAAGCAUGCCUAUUUUACUAAGGAUUUUCAUUUAAUUUUGUCCUUCUAUAAAACUAUCUAACCUUGGACAGUAUUACAGAUGACUCCUGGUCAUGUGAGUAGGCCAGGGAUUAGGGAUUUGGAUAUGAGGUGCUCCUUAGGAUUUCCCUGCCAAAGCAUUCCCUGCUGGUGUGUUCCAAUCACAAAAGAUAGCAGUGCUGUUGGAAAAGGCGGUGGCAUUUUUGCCAUCCAGGAUCCAGAUGCUUUCUUCGCUCCUGGGAUGGUAGCAAAAAAAACCUCAAAUCUUCAAAGUGAAUACCAGCAUUGAUCUUUAAGUUCAGUGAUGGAAUUACUCUCAGAGGCUUCCAUAACUAAAUUGAAAUCUCCCCAAUUCAAAAUUUCAAAAUAGAGUUUUCUUCUUACCUUCUGUUUUUGUCUGAAUGCAGUUCCGUCUCUCUCUCUGCACCAUAACAAAUCUCGGAAUUGGCUUCCCCAAUUUCCACCAAUCACCCAGCACUGGAAAGUCUAGUCUGUGCCCCCACCGGACCACAGUGACCACCACCGUGUGGCUAAGCCAACCUCUGCUCCACGUGGGGGCCCCUCUGGCCACGCCAGGACCUUUCAUCUCAACCACCCACCAAAGCAAGUGUCAACAUCUCCUUACAGAUUUGCAUCAGAAAUGUUAAGAAAUGUUACUACAGGCAGCAGAAGAGCCACUCCUUACCUCCUGUUAAAACAUUAUAAAAAGGAAAUGUGUGAGGAAGAAGAGCAUAGGUUUGUGUACUAAAUCUCAGAAGAGCAGCUUUUCAAAACUCUGUCAGGCCUGGGAGACAAAGGAAAUAUAUCUUGACCUCACAGAGAGCAUUCAGGUGGAAAAAAGUAAUUUUUUUAACUUGAAAUUUACAUUUAACUAAAAUGAAUUUGUCUCACAAUGAAGAAAGACUAAAUAAAUCAUGGUAUAGCCUAAGUGGAAAAUGGUUCCACUGUUAGAAAUCCGCAUUGAUAAAAGCCAUUCACUAACGUCGGUGAGGCAGGAGAACAGUGGCUGGAGGGAGAGAACAUAAGGCCGAUUCACGCUGAUUUCCUAGAACUAAAUCAAAUGGAAACACUUCAGUGAUGACAGGUAAUACCCUCUCCAUUUACAUAGGGCAUACACAGAGUAAAUGACUUUGUAACUUAACUUCAUGCUCUUCAUUACACAGGGCAUACACCAAUAUAAACCAAUGGAAGUAACCAAUGGAAACCUCUAGAGGGUAUUUAAACCCCAGAAAAUUCUGUAACUGGGCUCUUGAGCCCGUGUGCUAGGACCACUCCCACCCUGUGGAGUGUACUUUCAUUUUCAAUAAAUCUCUGA
rnacentral:lncRNA from 1 species